rnacentral:rRNA from 1 species
UACGUAGGUGGCAAGCGUUGUCCGGAUUUACUGGGCGUAAAGAGCGCGCAGGCGGUCGUUCAAGUCGAGUGUGAAAGCCCCCGGCUCAACUGGGGAGGGUCACUCGAUACUGCUCUGACUUGAGUUCGGUAGGGGAGUGGGGAAUUCCUGGUGUAGCGGUGAAAUGCGCAGAUAUCAGGAGGAACACCGGUGGCGAAGGCGCCACUCUGGGCCGAAACUGACGCUGAGGAGCGAAAGCGUGGGUAGCAAACAGG